GAUGAACGCUGGCGGCGUGCCUAAUACAUGCAAGUCGAGCGAACAGAUGAGGAGCUUGCUCCUCUGACGUUAGCGGCGGACGGGUGAGUAACACGUGGAUAACCUACCUAUAAGACUGGGAUAACUUCGGGAAACCGGAGCUAAUACCGGAUAAUAUAUUGAACCGCAUGGUUCAAUAGUGAAAGACGGUUUUGCUGUCACUUAUAGAUGGAUCCGCGCCGCAUUAGCUAGUUGGUAAGGUAACGGCUUACCAAGGCAACGAUGCGUAGCCGACCUGAGAGGGUGAUCGGCCACACUGGAACUGAGACACGGUCCAGACUCCUACGGGAGGCAGCAGUAGGGAAUCUUCCGCAAUGGGCGAAAGCCUGACGGAGCAACGCCGCGUGAGUGCUGAAGGUCUUCGGAUCGUAAAACUCUGUUAUUAGGGAAGAACAAAUGUGUAAGUAACUAUGCACGUCUUGACGGUACCUAAUCAGAAAGCCACGGCUAACUACGUG
rnacentral:rRNA from 1 species